UCCGUAGGUGAACCUGCGGAAGGAUCAUUAAUGAAUUCGGGCGCUCGACUCUGAAAUAUUGAGAUCGGCCCCAUUUCUUAAUCCACUUCACACUUGUGCACAUUUUUCCUACUUUCCUUCGGGAGAGUUUGAAAAGCUCUUGUGAUUUUAAUCAAGUCCAGGAUGUGAAUCCAAUUUGAAUAAGUUGUAAAACAACUACAAACGGUGGAUCUCUUGGCUCUCGUAUCGAUGAAGAACGCAGCGAAACGCGAAAUGUAAUGUGAAUUGCAGAAUUCAGUGAAUCAUCGAAUCUUUGAACGCAUCUUGCACUCUCGAAUCACUAUCGAGAGUAUGCCUGUUUGAGUGUCGCGAAACUCUCAACCCCGCCUCAUGCUUUAUUGCGUGUGGGUAGCUUGGGCUUGGAUCAUGAUCUUUGCAGUAAUGCGCUAGCAGAACUGCUGGAUUGAAAUACAACAAGCUGAAUCUAUAUACUUGCGGCUUGACCUGUCGUUGUAAGCACACAAAUGCAUUCGAUGGGGACGCGAGAAAAUGGAAUGAGCUUUCCAAAUGUGUUACACUUUGCAGCUUCUAUUAACUUAGAGCUCUUAGUGCAUUCUGACCUCAAAUCAGGUAGGAUUACCCGCUGAACUUAAGCAUAUCAAUAAGCGGAGGA
rnacentral:rRNA from 1 species